CAACAAUUCCGUCUAAGAAGUGU
rnacentral:siRNA from 1 species